CUCACGGGCUCAUUAUAUGCUCAAUUCAAGAUCUAUUGUACUCUACAAUAAUAUAAUCCUAACAUAUGCACUCGUAUACAGUACCACCAAGCAGUCAAGUACCAACCAAAACUACAGAUGAUGCUUUUGUAGAAGCUUCUCCCUACUUCUCCUAUGUUUGCUUCCAUGACUCCAAUCAUUCUUCUUCUUCUUUUUCUUGCAACUUUUUUUGCUCACCCAUUUUCUUUCCUUGCCCAACCAGUAAAUCCCACCUCCAGAAUCAGUGUUGUUGGUGUUGUUUAUUGUGA
rnacentral:misc_RNA from 1 species